UAGCGCAAAUCCGUCAGUACAACUAAAGUACUGAUUAUACGCGGGGGUAGGCUAAAUGCAUGGGGUUUAUAUGCAUGAACAUGCUGACUAAUAUGAACGUGAGAAUACAUACAUACAUACAUACAUACGUAACUGCUAUAGAACUCGUGGAGAUAGUGACUACUUGAGUUUGAACUCUGACAACAUGAGUUUCGUGAUACUGAGAUACUGAAUGACUGAUGACAUGGAUGACUGUAUCUAACAGUCCUAAUUUUGGGGGAAACUAUCUGAGUUCCAAACUGUAUCUGAACAUCUAAGUCUGAGAUCAGUCCUAGCUAACGAGUGAUCUCUAAAACUGAUAAUGAGAAUACUCGACUGAAUCUGAGAUUGAGAUCAAGCCUGCCUGCCGGGUGACCUCUAGAUAUAAUAAUAAGCAUCUAAAUAUGUGACCAAAACUAUCUGACGGGAUGGUCUAGUAAUCAUUAGAACUAUCUGAGUUCCUUACUGAGAUUGAUGACUGUAUACAGUCCUGAUUCUUGAUUUCUACUCUGAAGACUGAUACUAAAACUAUAACUGUACUGUGACUGUGGGAGGUAGUAACCUAAUUGACAUGCCCCACAACUGUACUAGUGGGGUCCAAUCUUUGCCUUGAUUGGAAGGGUGUCAAUACCAUGCCACGGGUGGAGACCUUUACUAUGGCCAAGCCUCUCUGACAGGUGACCCUGAACAGGAAAUCAAGCCUAAGANNNNNNNNNNNNNNNNNNNNNNNNNNNNNNNNNNNNNNNNNNNNNNNNNNNNNNNNNNNNNNNNNNNNNNNNNNNNNNNNNNNNNNNNNNNNNNNNNNNNNNNNNNNNNNNNNNNNNNNNNNNNNNNNNNNNAACUGAACUGAUUUUGAGUUUACUGAGUUCCUUGGACUGACGGAACACUACUAACAUCUGAUAUCUAGCUAAGUCAUGAGAUUGCAGAUCUUACUAAGUACUAAGUUUUCAUGAGAUUUCUGAGUCUUUCCUGAGUCACAUGACUAACUGUAAUCUAUGGAACAUAGCUUGACUGAGGAUGUCUUAAAACAUGACACUAGAUCUAGGCACAUAGCUAUAGUCUUUGGGUACAAUUACCUCCAGGACUCGAUGGAAGGAAACUGACACACAUGACUGACUUGAUCAUAAGAGUAGAGUCCAUAAUUCACAAUAUUAUAAGUAAGGAUUUCAUAAUAAGAAUGAUUCUCAACAAACUAUCACAUGAACGAAAAUGCACACAACAUGUAUAUACUUGCACGGCUUACAUAACAUGGUCAUUCCAUAUCACAACAAUAUCAUGAGCAUCUCAUACAACAUCUUCAAUUCAAGACAAUAGCAUGGGGAUCACAUUGAACAUAAGCUUAGAACAUGGAACAGUCAUGUAGGGCUUAUUAUGUCAUAAAAGCAUGAUUUCUAUUCCCUUAGGUAUUUUCACAAACACCUUGCAUGCACAUCUUAGGCAUAGGUGGAUUCAUCAAGAUUUCAAACAUUCAACAACCAAUUUCACAUGUUUAUACAUUAAAUACCACCAUAUCCUCACAUAAAACAUAAAAAGAUCCCAUCUUAGUCAUCAUCAAAAUCCAACCAGAUGAACAUCAACCACCAACAACAUAAACAUCAUAAUACAUAAUUUAGAAGAUGGUUCUUGAGCUUUAUGGACGAAAGGAGUUCAUAAAUCAACUCACGCAUACCUUAGAAGAAAGAUUCUUGAUGAUUGACGGAGGAAUUUUCUUGAAAUUGGAUCUUCAAGCUUAAUUAUGCAACCCUAGUUGUUUUUCUCAUUUAGUACUCUUGGAUGUUGAGAUUUGAGAUGUUAAUUGGGUUGUAAUAUGUUUAGAAGCUAUAUAUUUCAUAGGGUUAAGUUUAGGGACGUUUAAGGAGUGUUAAAAGAUUGAAUUACCCCUUAAAAUAACUCAAAACAUAGUGUUUUUGACACUUGGAACUGACUUAAGUGGUGCCCAAGUGAUUGCCUAAGCUAGGUUGGGCGGCGCCUAACCAAUCGCUUAUGUUUGGUUGGGCGGCGCCUAACCAAUCACCUAUCCUUAUUGUCCCUCAUGAAAAUGGGCAUAACUUUUUGCUCGGGUAUUGGAUUAAGCCGAAAUUGGUAUCGUUGGAAAGCUAAUUCGAUUCUCUACAAUUUGGUGGGUAUAAAUUAGCUAACAUACUGCAUUAACAUCAAGUUAUACUCAUUCAAAGACGACCCUUGCAAAAUCGAACACUAAAACAUGAUGGAUUCAAAAACUUUUAGCUUGUAUUACCUUAAGUGACUCAUAUGAGCAUGCUUAAUGCAUCAUAAGCCAUCCUAUCACUAGGAUAUUCAUUGUAAGUCAUGUACUCAAGUAUGAAUCACAGGAUAGGAGAUUUUAUACGUAGGAAUACUUAUUCACUUCCUAACUUAGAAACAUGCGGGGUAUUGCAAUAUCACCCCCUUGGGAACAUUCGUCCUUGAAUGAGAAUUAACUGAGGUGGGAGAGAUGAUAAGAUGAAGUACGUACAAGACAUACACUACUGAAACAUGGACUCAUGACUGACAUGACUGAAAGUGGAGCACAAUAUACUGAACAUGCAUAUCUGAUGCUUGGGAAGCUGAUUCAUGAAUAUAAGACUGAGGACUCUAAUAAAGUGAGUUUUCUUAAAAUGAGAAUGCAUUUCUGAUGCAUAACUGAAAGACUGAAUCCAUGCAUAUCUGAUGCAUGAUUACAUGACUGACAUGAUAUGUAAAUGUAUUAGUGAUAUUACUGAUAAAUAGUACUUUCUCUACUGAACACGUAUAUCUAAUGCCUGAAUAUCUGACUGAGCUGAAUCUUGAAAGCAUGACUGAUUAUGCCAUGUCACUUGAUAACUAAUUUAUAACAAGAAAAUAAAAACAUCAAGAAAAGGGUGGGGUAUCUCCCCCUUGGGACACUAUGUCCCUCUAGGAAUGUUUACCUUGCUGAGAUACUGGGGUGAUGCACAGGGCAUCUACGAACUAGAUUAUAAAUAAACAUUGGAGAGCUGAGACUAAUGUAUGAUGCAUGAACUGAACUAGACCUACUAAUGUUACUGACUAAUUCAUGUGGAAACAUAAGCUCCAAUGAGCGUAACAUAUCUAACAAUGCAUACAAUGAUCAUGAAAAACAUGUAAUGUACCGAAUCUAGGUUGGGGAAACUUUCUGGAUCAUGGUGAGUCUAGAGUAAAUAGAGUCGAUUCUGAUGCUGACCACUAUUGGUACUGGGAUUUGCGGCCUGCUCACGCGAAUCUCUACCUUUCUGAGCUAACACUCUACACUCCCGCACUCUAUGGCCUGGCUUACCGCACCCAAAACAUACCUAACUAUUAUCUCUGCAUGCACCUAGAUGAUUCUUGCCACACACUCCACAAAGCGGAUAAGUACGCUCACUUCUAACACUACUCUAGGCUUUGGAGCCUGGCGCCCCACCAUGACUAACAUAUCCAAAGUUAUGUGUGGGCACACUAGCUGAAGAUAGAACAGGGGCUGAAUUUUUUUUGACUAUGGUGAUAAUGAUUACCACCCUGUGACCCAGCCAGAGAAAAGCUGUAACUACCUGCUCUGAAUCUCUUAUUAGAUCUCUCCGUCUCUUUAGACUUAUCUGCCUCUAUCUACUGAGCAUGCAUCAUUAAUCUAGCAAGGUCUAUGUCCUUAUUGAGCAUAGCUGUUCUACACUCUUUCUGGGGUCAGCUAUCAAGUCAGGAGCAUACUUAGAUAACUAGUUGAACUUAAGACAAUACUCCUUCAUUGUCAUGGAACCUUGUCUCAGGUUCAUAAACUCUUCUACCUUAGAUUCUCUCAUCUCUAAUGGGAAAAACUUAUCUAGGAAGAAAUCCUGAAAUAUCUUCCAAGUCAUGGAAGUUGUAUCUUCCCCUCUACUCUUCUUCCACAAUACCACCCAAUCAUGAGCAAUAUCUUUUAGCCUAUAAAACGCUAAUUCCACUCUCUUAUCCUCUGACACAUGCAUGAUUUGGGUGAUCUUCUUUACCUCUUAUAGAUACAGCAGUGGGUCCUCACCAGUUACUAACCCAAAGAAUUCUGGAGGGUUCAUUCUCAUAAAAUUUCUGAUUCUGGCUACAGCUGAAUCCCCAUCUUGCUGGGGUGGGGCUGUAGUCUGGCGGUUGCCCUGAACACUAGUGGUCACAGCCUGGGCUAGCACUUAAAAAACUACCCAAAAUUAUGUAUAUGACACAUUCUCAUUCAAAGGAUCUACGGGCUGCGGGGCUGACUGAUUCCCUGUUCUCUUCUUAGGAGGCAUAUUCUGCAAACAGAAGAGGAACAAGGAUUAAACUGAGAGUUCAACUUGAGCUUUUCCUCACUAGCACAAUAUGAGUACUGAAAGAAGGGAUACUGUUCCUAAAACAUCUUAUAGCCUCAUGUACAAAAAUGUGGCGCGCAACACAACCAUGUACAAGACUCUACUAGAUACAGAUUUCAGACUUCCUAGGACUCUAUUGAACCUUAGGCUCUGAUACCAAGUUUGUAACACCCCAAUUUUCUGAACCGCAAUGCUACAUGGUGCUCAUGACCCCGAAGGACCACAAGCUAACCCAUGACUGAUAUCUGUACCUGUAACUACAUAAUAUUCAUAUAAAAUGCAAAAACAUGAACAAAGAGGGCGUAAGGUUCAAUCUUGAAUAAUAAGAUAUCUGAAAUAAGGUGGUAUCACAGUACUAAAACAAAAUUGAAAAUACUAAUGUCUAAAUCUAAAAACUCUAUAAUCAUCUGAAAGCCUCUAAACUGUCUGAAUAAGGAGUUGAAGGAACAUGUCUCCAACUAACUCCCUAAACUGAAAAUAAACCAAAAUACUGGAAUAAUAUAUGUAACGAUCAUGUCCUUGAAAGAUGAGGACUCACUGCUUACUGAACUACUACUGCUGAUCUGGAAUCUGUACCUAAGAACCUAUGGUGUAAUAAAAAGAAAGCAUCAUAGUGCAAAUGCAUCAGUACAGCUAAAGUACUGAGCAUACGUAGGGGUAGGCUAAAUGCAUGGGGUUUAUAUUCAUGAACAUACUGACUAAUAUGAAUGUGAGAAUACAUACAUAACUGCUAUAGAACUCGUGGAGAUACUGACUACUUGAGUUUGAACUCUGACAACAUGAGUUUCGUGAUACUGAGAUACUGAAUGACUGAUAACAUGGAUGACUGUAACUAAC
rnacentral:lncRNA from 1 species